rnacentral:misc_RNA from 1 species
AAAGAAUUUGGUCAGCUGAAGAGGAAAAGGCAGAGUCCGAAAAAGAUAUGGAAAUGGAGGACAUUGAUGAAGAUAUAAAGCUGUGGUCAUCCGGCAAGGAAACCAACAUCCGGCUGCUACUUUCUACCCUCCAUCAUAUUCUAUGGCCCAGGAGUGGCUGGCAUGUAACUCCACUUACAAGCCUUAUGGAGGGUUCACAGGUGAAGAAAGCUUAUCAGAAGGCAAGAUUAUGCCUCCACCCAGACAAACUGCAGCAGAGAGGAGCAACAGACAUGCAAAAAUAUGUGGCUGAAAAAGCUUUCACUA